GUUUCGCGUUAGGGCGACUCGAGGUCGCUCGUCGUUCGUUUGAAUUGGGGGUUUGGUUAAGGCAGGCUUCCGAGGGCUCUCGCCCCCUUCCGCCCGCAAAGGUUCACGGUGGGGUUUGUGAAGGUCGAGCGGGGAAGCGCCCGCUGCACGGCCGGAGCCGGAGCGGGACGCUGGCCCCGUCGUAGAUACGUUAAUGAUCCUUCCGCAGGUUCACCUACGGAAA
rnacentral:misc_RNA from 1 species